AUGAAAAUCCAUGGUGUUUACAGACCCCAAACUCUGACUUCGCAUCUCAUCAGACUGUGAGACUACCCAAAGUUCUGAUCAGCUUCUCACUCUCACGCCUGAGAAUCGCAACAACAGCAUCAGCCAGUGCCCUAACUUUCAAGGCAACCACGAAAACGUCCCAACUGCUGCUAAAUUACUGGCAACAAGGAACUGGAGUUUUUCUGACAAGAGCAGGCCAUGUCCGGAAGCAAUCACAUUUCUCCUCGACUCCUCUCCAGUAUCAGCUUGUUGCCUGACACCCCUGCAUAGCUGACUUCAUAAUGUUGGGGACUGUGACUGCCAUUUUCCUCAGACGCCAGCCUGGCUGCCAAGGGCCGCAGCGGUGUCACGGCCACUGUGAAUCCUUUACCCUCCAUGCCUUCAUCUUCAGCCCUCAGUAAGGCGAGUCCUUGAAAAUGUCACUUCCAAUCAGUUGAAA